ACGGCGAGUGAAGCGGCAACAGCUCAAAUUUGAAAUCUGGUCCCCUUUGGGGGCCCGAGUUGUAAUUUGAAGAGGAUGCUUUUGGCGAGGCGCCUUCCGAGUGCCCUGGAACGGGACGCCACAGAGGGUGAGAGCCCCGUAUGGUCGGACGCCGAGCCUAUGUAAAGCUCCUUCUACGAGUCGAGUAGUUUGGGAAUGCUGCUCAAAAUGGGAGGUAAACCCCUUCUAAAGCUAAAUACCGGCCAGAGACCGAUAGCGCACAAGUAGAGUGAUCGAAAGAUGAAAAGCACUUUGAAAAGAGAGUUAAACAGCACGUGAAAUUGUUGAAAGGGAAGCGCUUGCGACCAGACUUGCGCCCGUCGGAUCAACCGUCCCUCGUGGGCGGCGCACUCCGGCGGGCUCAGGCCAGCAUCAGUUUUCCGGGGGGGAGAAAGUCGGUCGGAAUGUGGCUCUUCGGAGUGUUAUAGCCUUCCGAGUAAUACCCCCUGGGGGACUGAGGACCGCGCUUUAUGCA
rnacentral:rRNA from 1 species